UUUCAUCGACUGCAGAAGACGUCCUUCUUAAAGAUUUCUGUACCUGCAUCAAGGAGCUGAACAACAUCCACCAUGAAGAUUACACUGCUCUGCGCUUUCUUGGCCGUCUUCCUGGCCAUCUCGUGCGUCCUCGGAACCCCCGUCAACAAUGGCAGAGGAUUGGGCGGCGCCAAGGGCGGUAAGGAAAUGAUGUACGAAUAUGAUGGUGAGAUGGGAGACGAUGGAAUGAUGUACGACUAUAAUGACGUAAGGACCGGUGAAGAAAUUGGAGACCGCAAUGUAGGGUGUAGGCGGUGGUGCUGGGUAACAUAUCGAGGUAUCCGCAAGGACUAUUGCUGCGAAUAAUCUAGACACAAGAGCAACAAACAACAAGACCAACAUCCCGGAACACGGAUUGGACUGGCACUCGAUAGCAAUGUAUCAAUAUAUAUAUAUAUAUAUAUAUAUAUAUAUAUAUAUAUAUAUAUUAUGUGCAUUUAAAAUAUAUGAAUGUAACUUUGGGGUUGUGUUAUUACUAGGACCAUGUUAUAUUAUAAAUACAUGUACAUUUACUAGAAAUAAAUUGGUUUAGCAAGGUUGCAAUACUGUUCAUGUUAUUAAUAGGAAAAGCUUUCAUUAGCACACGCUGUUGCGCAGAUUUGCGGUAGUGAAAGUAAGCUUUAAUUCGCACACUUAAUUUCGUAGAACAUUUAACACGACUCUGAUUCAUGCAUGAAGAAAGCCGACGUCAAACUAACACAAUGAAAAUGUGUUUUGUCGAAUCGGUCAUUUCUUUUUACUUUCUCGUUGUUAAUACCUAGGGCCUAACAGGUUAAGUACGUGUUCAUAAAUGUACUACCUACUCAAUUUUUUAACGGGUUAAUCCCUAAUAACAUUAUGAUGUGACGCUUCGUGAUAUGUUGCGUAAUAUUAACAAUUAUAACUGUGUAAUAUAACCCGCGUCAUGCGAAAAUAGGUUAUAUGCCAAAUAUUGUAUGCGACCAAUGUAGCUCCCGACUGACAUGCGCAUUUGCGCAGUAUGGUCAGGAGCUACCUGUCCGCUAUAAAGUCACGCAUUACUUACUCGUACGGGACUAGAUCUUAUGAUAAGGGUGAUUUUCACAUACAUCCAGUUGAUACUUUUACUUUCAAAUCUUUUUACCAUAAUGCAAUAAAAGACAUGAAUAACUUGCCACAAAAUAUACGAUGUACAAAGUCUAAGAAUACGUUAAAAAAAACUUGUUAAGAAGCAUUUAUUAGAAGAAAUGGAAAUAGUUGAGAAACUAGAGUUUCUGUAUUAGUAGCGUUUGAACAUUUUGUAGAUCUGUAAACUAUAUUGUAAUACAUUUUUAAACUGUAAACCAUAUUGUAAUACAUUUUUAAACUGUGUUUGUGCAAUCCUGUCAAUUUCAUCAUCAUAUGACGUGUUCUCUUUUUCAACAAUAAGAAUUAUUUUAUUAAUACUAUAAUAUGACAUUGUAUUACCGUUGUCACUUUAUUCCAUCAUAGAUGUCGAAUUUAUGGUAUACUUUUGCGCUACUUAGAUCCACAUGUGAUGGCUUUGGACCCCGUUGGAAAUACGUUUUGUAUGAUUUAUCGUCCAAACUUUACGGGUUAUGAGCUCUGAUGGAAACUAUCUGUGAUAUAUCUGAAUUGUUAAUAAUUGUGACUGUUGAAUGUAUUGCUAUGUUAUGUGCACAAAUAAAAUGAUUAAUUAUUAUUACUUCGGGGUGUCUUUAGCGGACAUGCUGACUCCUCACUAGACCGCACAAAUGCUCAUUUGGCAUAAGAUUCAUUAUCGCAUAACGCAUGUUUUAUUAUUAGACACCUUACAUUUCAAAAGAAAAGUUUGAACUACGUACAUCUCGAUGGUAUUCCGUCAAUAAAAAAACAUACCCUAUCUUCUUGAUUGCUCGGCUGGCAAAAUACAAACAUGUUCGUUUAUUGCUUAAUUAUGUGUAUUGUAUAAAGCUUUUGGCACAUUUUGGGAGUAUAGUGACAAAAGGGAAACACAAGGAAUCACUUAUUUAACCAUAUCAAGUUGCAAGAAAUCUAAAAUAAUGAUACAUGUUUAUUCCUUUUUUCAAUCACGUACUUGAGUCGAUUGACGCGAUUGAAAAAGAGCGAUAAUGAAAUCACUUACUCUUCACACAUGUUAAGAUUGACAGCACUUGUAUGGUUAUAAACUCACAUGUUUGCCACAAUCACCCACUUGUUCGCUCCAUACUUCUCCAACGUUAGGGCCCAAUUUCUCUAAAUUACAUUAGCCGCGAUCUGUGAAAACGGUACUUAAUACAUCUCCGCACAGGCUUAUCCGACACGACACUAACAGCGUCCACCGAAUUUCCGUUUUAGAAGAGACUGUCCAUAAACGAAAAAUGCACAAAGGCGGAAAGUGUCGGCCCUGAUAAGCCUGCGCGGACUGCACAAUUAUGUCUGAGACGACACUGUGCGCACAUGCAUUAAGCACAGUUUUCCCAGAACGCGGCUCGUAUUGUAACAGUUUUGACGAAACAAUUGAAAUGCAAAAGAACAAAUGUAUUCUAAAUUGCUUGUUGGUCCACCAUUAAAUAUCUUAUAUGCUAUGUUUUU